CCCUUAGAUGUCCUGGGCCGCACACGCGCUACACUGAUGCAUUCAACGAGUAAUUAUUCCUUGGCCGAGAGGCCUGGGUAAUCUUUUAAACGUGCAUCGUGAUAGGGAUAGAUUAUUGCAAUUAUUAAUCUUGAACGAGGAAUUCCUAGUAAACGCAGAUCAUCAAUCUGCAUUGAUUACGUCCCUGCCCUUUGUACACACCGCCCGUCGCACCUACCGAUUGAAUGGUUUAGUGAGAUCUUCGGAUUGGCGCCACUGCGGCUCAGCAAUGGGCUCGGUGGAUGCCGAAAAGUUGAUCAAACUUGAUCAUUUAGAGGAAGUAAAAGUCGUAACA
rnacentral:rRNA from 1 species